rnacentral:rRNA from 1 species
CCAGGUGAUCCUGCCGGACCCCACUGCUAUCGGGGUGGGACUAAGCCAUGCGAGUCGGCACCCUCCAGCCACCGGGGAGGGUGCGGCGGACGGCUCAGUAACACGUAGCUAACCUACCCUCAGGACGGGAAUAACCCCGGGAAACUGGGGCUAAUUCCCGAUAGGUGAGGAGGCCUGGAAUGGCCCUUCACUGAAAGGGGUGCUGGAACCAUGCUUCUGGCGCCUGCCUGAGGAUGGGGCUGCGGCCGAUCAGGUAGUUGGUGGGGUAACGGCCCACCAAGCCUAUAACCGGUACGGGCCGUGAGAGCGGGAGCCCGGAGAUGGGCACUGAGACAAGGGCCCAGGCCCUACGGGGCGCAGCAGGCGCGAAAACUCCGCAAUGCGCGCAAGCGUGACGGGGCUACCCCGAGUGCCGCCCGCUGAGGGUGGCUUUUCCCCAGUGUAGACAGCUGGGGGAAUAAGGGGAGGGCAAGUCGGGUGUCAGCCGCCGCGGUAAUACCCGCUCCCCGAGUGGUGGUGGCGAUUAUUGGGCUUAAAGCGUCCGUAGCCGGCUUGGUAAGUCUCUCGUUAAAUCCAACGGCCUAACCGUUGGACUGCGGGAGAUACUGCCAGGCUAGGGGGCGGGAGAGGCCGGCGGUAUUCCCGGGGUAGGGGUGAAAUCCUAUAAUCCCGGGAGGACCACCAGUGGCGAAGGCGGCCGGCCAGAACGCGCCCGACGGUGAGGGACGAAAGCUGGGGGAGCGAUCCGGAUUAGAUACCCGGGUAGUCCCAGCUGUAAACGAUGCGGGCUAGGUGUUGGCGCGACUACGAGUCGCGCCAGUGCCGCAGGGAAACCGUUAAGCCCGCCGCCUGGGGAGUACGGUCGCAAGACUGAAACUUAAAGGAAUUGGCGGGGGGGCACCACAAGGGGCGAAGCUUUGCG